GCCAACUUCUCGUUCUAGAACUGGGGAAUUAGGAGCAUCCUCUAUACCAGCUUCACAGCUUAAACCUGAGAAUGUAAGAAGAUCCCGUUUAUCAGCUUCUCGUUCUAAAGCUGAGGAACUAGAAGCAUCCCCUGUGCCUGUUUCUAAGUUUAGAAGUGGAACAAGAACAUCCCGUUUGUCGGCUUUUCGUUCAAAAGCUGAGGAAGCUAAAACAUCACGAUUAUUAGCUUCUCGUUCUAAAGCUGAGGA
rnacentral:misc_RNA from 1 species